rnacentral:misc_RNA from 1 species
AGCAGCCGCGGUAAUUCCAGCUCCAAUAGCGUAUAUUAAAGUUGUUGCAGUUAAAAAGCUCGUAGUUGAAUUUCGGGAUUAAUAUGUUGGUCGUGCCUUGGUACGUACUGGCAUUAUUGAUUCCUACCUUCUGAAGAACCUCGAUGUCAUUAAUUUGGUGUCUUGGGGGAAAUCAGGACCGUUACUUUGAAAAAAUUAGAGUGUUUAAAGCAGGCUCGCGCUUGAAUACAUUAGCAUGGAAUAAUGAAAUAGGACGUUUGAUUCUAUUUUGUUGGUUUCUAGGAUCGACGUAAUGAUUAAUAGGGAUAGUUGGGGGCAUUAGUAUUCAAUUGUCAGAGGUGAAAUUCUUAGAUUUAUUGAAGACUGACUACUGCGAAAGCAUUUUGCCAAGGAUGUUUUCAUUAAUCAAGAACGAAAGUUAGGGGAUCGAAGACGAUCAGAUACCGUCGUAGUCUUAACCAUAAACUAUGCCGACUAGGGAUCGGAUGAUGUUAAUUUUUUCAAUGACUCAUUCGGCGCC